rnacentral:rRNA from 1 species
CAGCAGCCCGAGUGGUGGUCGUUUUUAUUGAGCCUAAAGCGUCCGUAGCCGGUCUAGUAAAUCCUUGGAUAAAUCGUACAGCUUAACUGUACGGCUCCCGGGGAGACUGCUAGACUUGGGACUGGGAGAGGUCGGAGGUACUCCAGGGGUAGGGGUGAAAUCUUGUAAUCCUUGGGGGACCACCAGUGGCGAAGGCGUCCGACCAGAACGGGUCCGACGGUAAGGGACGAAGCCCUGGGUCGCGAACCGGAUUAGAUACCCGUGUAGUCC